rnacentral:rRNA from 1 species
GGCCUGGCUGGGUGGUCUUGCCGAAAGGUUAGUACUGCUCGGGCUGGGUCUUUCCUUCUGGGGAACUAGUGUGCUCUUAAUUGGGUGCGCUAGGGAACCAGAACUUUUACUUUGAAAAAAUUAGAGUGUUUAAAGCAGGCUCACGCUUGAAUACAUUAGCAUGGAAUAACGAAAUAAGAC